GGCGGCGUGGCUCAGUGGUAGAGCAGCGGUCUCAUAAUCCGCGUGUCGGGGGUUCGAUUCCCUCCGCCGCUA
rnacentral:tRNA from 1 species